UCAACACGCAGAUGUUGAAGAGUCAACACGCAGAUGUUGAAGAAACCAAGUUGAUUUCAAAUCGAUGCAUAGACGCAGUUGAGACUCCGAAAAACCGAGUACCCAUUUUGUUUUUUGGGCCGAAAACAGAGUACGAAGACCGACGAGCAAACUUGGUUUCUAUUUGGAAUCUCUCUCUCUCUCUCUCUGACAGACCCAAAUGGCAGCAGUUUCUCAUCUGUUCUUCUGGGUUUUUCUUUGGGUAUCUCGUCAAUGGCAUAUGUGAGGUUUUUUGUUUUGAAAAAGCACAUAAAGACUCAUUUGGAUUGAGCAGUGUCGGAAAAGAAAAGGAUAAUUGCUCUCUCCGGCAACGGGAACAUUCUUGCAAUUGUCUCCGGCAUUGAUGCCAUUGCUCUCUCCGGCGAAGAGAACGAACGCCAUCACGGAUGCCUUUGCUCACUCCGGCGAAGAGAACGCCAUCACGGAGAAGAGAACGCCAUCACAUGCUUUUGCUCGCUCCAGCGAAGAGAACGCCAUCACGGAAAAGAGAACGCCAUCACGGAUGCCUUUGCUCGCUCCGGCGAAGAGAACGGCACUGAGGCUGUUGCUCGCUCCAGCGAAAAGUACGAUCUUGCAGUCGUCGCCGACACUGUUGUGGUUGGUCGCUCCGGCUAAGAGAACGGCCUAAGCAAAGGUUCCGAAGGGUUUAUCGAAGUCGGCGAGUCUUUCGGCGGCCGCGAGAACAACAACCUUCCACCAGUUACCGGCGAGUCCUCCCGCGGUGGCGAGGAUGAACAUCUGGUUAUAUUAUAAUAUAUUUUUAUAUUUAUUUUUUUCUUUUCGUCAGAAUUCUUAUUUUAUUUUCAUUUCUUGUCCACAAUUUGUGACUCUUUUGUAAAUAUAGUUAAGGCUUCUAAUA